rfam:TPA: Bos taurus chromosome 6, whole genome shotgun sequence.
UCCCUGGUGGUCCAGUGGUUAAGACUCUGCACUGCUAAUACAGGAGGUCUGGGUUCAAUACCCAGUUGGGAAA